rnacentral:rRNA from 1 species
UACGUAGGUGGCAAGCGUUGUCCGGAAUUACUGGGUGUAAAGGGAGCGUAGGCGGGAAAGCAAGUUGAAUGUUUAAGGUACGGGCUCAACCUGUACAAGCGUUCAAAACUGUUUUUCUUGAGUGGAGUAGAGGUAAGCGGAAUUCCUAGUGUAGCGGUGAAAUGCGUAAAUAUUAGGAGGAACACCAGUGGCGAGGGCGGCUUACUGGGCUUUAACUGACGCUGAGGCUCGAAAGCGUGGGUAGCAAACAGG